UGCUUGCAGAUAAAACUCAGAUUUGUGAUGCCAAAUUUUUGAUGUAGACAGUGUUUGGAAGUUGCUACCCCUGGACUUACGAAUUGCCUUCAUAGAAUCUAGGGUUAUCCUCACCAUUUUUGGUACAGCUGAUUUACAGGCAACUUGAAAUAACAACAACAAAUCCCUCAUGAAUCAGCCGAAGCGUGACAGGGAGGUGGGGUAAAGUGGGUACCUCCACCCAGUUCACCAGUAUUUCCCAAACCACUCCCAAGCAUUUCCUUCACCUGGGCCUCAGCCUGACCAAAGAUGAACCUCAGCUUAUUGAGUGGUAAGGAAAAUGGGAUCAUUAGAGAAAGGGGGAAUGCCUUUGUCAGCUUGGCUUAAUAAGAUCACAACCCAUCAGCUGACGCUGAUGACUCAAGGAGGGAGGCUGAAGUCAGGGUUAGCGCUAGGCCCAAAGGCCAGCUUUUUGGGCAAAUUACUCUGAGAACUGCACAGCCACACCAUCUGCCCUCUGCAGCAUUGCCCCAUCUGGAGCAGGUAUAAUGAGGGGCAGCAUCAUCACAAAGUGGCACCUGAAGUAUUGGUGGCUUUGGAAUCAGUCUAAGUCCAAGUAUUUCCUCUGCCCGUUACAAGUUGUAUAAAGUUGGACAACUUAAAGUGUCAGAGUCCCUUGAUUUAGGCACGAUUCAAGGCCCAGCUUGCGUUCCUACAGGACAACUAUGCUCUGUCAAUGCACUUCAGUGAGCUAUUUCUGCCCUCCCCAUCUGUCCAUGAGCUCCUUGAGUGCAUCCUUAUACAUUUUUGUUGCUCCAGUCUCUGGCAUGGUCCCUGUCACACCAUAAGGCCUCUAAACAUGUAUAAUGAAUUAAUAAAUACUGAAAAAUUGUGAUGGUCACUGGAGGCUCGGUGGUGAUAAGCCUUAUUAUCUGCUCUAUAUUAUACAUCCUAUUAUGAACAUGCCGUCUUUGAGAGCACAUUAAACAAAUGCAUUAAUGCAAGGAUGAACACUUACCAAGGAUUAAGUGUACUGAAUACAAGAAUCCAGAACAGCUAAAAGAAAAAUACUUGUAAUAUAAUGAUUGUGUCCAUAGAACAACUGUGUUAUAAACAAAAGAAGUCCAAGGCAAAUUGUGUUAUUUUCCCAGUAGUUUUGUGAUCUGUUUUGUGUUCUUACGGUAAGGCCUGAUAAGAACCAUGUUCCACAAUGCAUGUGUAAGCAUGACCUAAAAAUACAUAUAGUUUAAAUUCCUGCCUAACAUUCAAAAUCUAACAUUUGAUAUAUCCAAAAACUGUAUGAACUUUUGAUCCCUAAAUAUAU
rnacentral:lncRNA from 10 species